CUCGAUCUGACUCUCUUCUGCUGGACUUCGGAGAAAUGAUGCUCAUCUUUGUGCCGCUGCUGCUGCUGCAAACUGCUGCAUAUGUGGAAAAUGCCUCGACGGGCCCUCAGGAGAAGAAGGAGCAAGAGCAAGAGCUUCAUUAUGGAGAAGUGAUGUUCACCAACAAAAUUGUUCAACAGCAGCCGUAUAAAACACAGGAGGAGUGUUUGUACGCUCAGGUGUAGCCGCGUUAGUGUGAAAACUACCACAAGACCACCUGCAGUCAAUGCAUAGUGUGACUUCACACUUCACUGACAUGAAGACACAACAGGACAGCUUUUAGCUGCUUGUGAUGAAAUGCUCGGCUUAGUGCACAUUUUCUUUCCUGUGUGGCAACAGAAAAAUACAGCGUCUGAUCCAGAACAGAAAUAUAAAAAGAUGAACUCUGAUUGACUUUCCAAUAAAGCCACUGAAGGGAAUCACGACUGCUGUGAACAAUUAAUUACUUUUUUACAUAUAUAAAAUGUCAUUCUAUGACAUACUUUGUUUGUAUUCUGUUUCCUUGUGCUGCCUUCCAUCCCAGAUAGCACACGUACGUCUGCAAGAUGUCUGUUAAAGAUUGCUUGAUCUGGAAAGCAUCUACUGUGUACAAACGUCUGACAGAUGUCUUUCAGAUGUCCGUUUUACAUACAUUCUAAAUCAUAAACAUCUUAAAGACAUCUAAUAUACGUCUGUCUGUUUGACAUCUGAUAGGAAACGUCCAAUACACGUAUUGCAGAUGAGCAAACAUUCUAAAGGCCCCGGUAUACUUCAAACGAAGUUCGUUUUCGUUCUUCGUUUGGGGGCAAAAAGAAGUUUGAAAAGGCUGAGCGACGGUAUACUGUUUUCGAACAUUCCGACACCCCCGCGCUGCUGGAGGCGGGUGUAGAUUAAUGUAAACAUGUGUCGCAAUGCUCAAGCCUAUCCCCUAAACACAACAACGAUGUGUAGGCAAUCUAGGUGUGAGAUGGGCACCAAUGGUCAGAAUAUUAUAGACAAAAGAAUAAUGAUUAGCAGCAGUUCAGAGUCAAGUAUCAUGUUUGCAAUGCAAAAGAACCAUAAUCAGUCCUUUAUGGAAAGUGUGAACGUCUCAUAAUCUGUAAAACUUUAGCAUGAUGUGGAAAAACAUUAUUGGAGUCAGUUUGUUACUGUAUUUUAUUAUUUAUUGUUACACCUUUUUAUAUUUUAUGUGGUGUCAUGAUUUACUUUUGAUAAAAACAAAGGUUUAUUAUUAUAUGUUCGUUUGGUGUUUCAUUUAUUGUAUACCCUUUAAAUUUGCUUAUUGAAAGAACAACAGCAGCAGUAUGGUGUAAUAUUUAUUUGAAACAUGUAUUUGGUACUUGCUACCUUAUAU
ensembl:lncRNA